UAUUGUUGCAUCAUGGACAACACUUAGAGCUAACAUUAGCUUUUUUUUUUUUUAGAUAGGAUGUAAUGUGGUAACGUUAUGUGCUGGAGAGUAUUAGAGUGGACGUGUAGAAAUUGAAGACACAAGUACUGUGCUUAAUUUCAUGGAAAUGAGAGGCAACACUCGAAAGCUACAUCAAGGACACCGGAGGAUGGACCAGAAGACCUGAGACCAAGACGACCCAAGCCCAACCCAUAGUAUGCUUCACUGACAAAUGUUGAUGCUUCAUCAUCACAUAGACCAAAGGUUUCAGAGAAGGCUGGUAGAGCUCUCUAUGAGUGUGAGCUGUGGGAGAUAACCAAGAACUGACAACCACCUACAGAAGAGGUGGCGAUAAUGGCUCUCCAAGAGGAGGUUGUGAGUCUGAAGGCUUUUAUUCAACAAGGAGGCACUUAGAGGGAAUGCCUGGACCCUAAGAGGACUAAGACGAUAAUUGAGGCCACCCUGAAGCAGUUCCCAGGCCAGACACUCACUCCAGAUUGCUGGGCCAGGCAAUAAAUGCCAAAGUGACAGAACUGAGACAU